AUUCAAAUAGUUUACAUAAAACGUUGGCUUGUGGGGCUGGAGAAAUAAAUAAUUUUAUUUUGAAUA
rnacentral:tRNA from 1 species